UAACUACUCCCUCCGUUCCGAAUUACUCGUCGCAGAAAUGGAUGUAUCUAGAUGUAUUUUAGUUCUAGAUACAUUCAUUUCUGCGACGAGUAAUUUGGAACGGAGGGAGUAUGUG
rfam:Triticum aestivum genome assembly, contig: Triticum_aestivum_CS42_TGACv1_scaffold_641952_T_2AS-0.278060_3AL-0.140971